GCUGAAUUUGUUCCGUGUUUCAUAGAAAGCUCUGGGAUUUCUUUUGCAUUUUAGUUGUCAAGUAAAACAUGGGACUUGUUUUUAGCUCACGAUUCCUCUUUCUCAGUGUCCCAGGAAAGACAGUUUUAGAAUUAAAUUGGGGGAUUCCAUCUUUCCAAAUUUUUGGUUUACUUUUUUAACAAUAUUAUUAUUAUUAUUUUAGUAUUUUUGAUGCUGGUGAUCAAGCCCUGGCCUUUGUACUCGGUGCAGUGCCACUUGAGUUAGAGCCUCAGUUCUUGUUGACUUUUGCACCCUCACCCCUGUAAGUGAUUUUAGACUUAAGUGGUCCUACUAAGCAUCAAGGACAACUGAGAGUCCAAACGCUGCCAUUCCCUAAGUUCAUCCUUGAACUAAGUCACUUUGCGUCAAAUCGGAAUGUCACUGUGACUGUGCUCUGUGCCCCCAGGGUCUGUAUUCCAGUGUGACGUGUCCAGGGGUCGUAAUGACCAAUCUGACGUAUGGGAUUCUGCCCCCCUUUGUUUGGACGUUGCUUCUCCCGGUGAUAUGGCUCCUUCGCUUUUUUGCACAUGCGUUCACUGUGACACCGUACAAUGGUGC
rnacentral:lncRNA from 1 species